AACGAACGCUGGCGGCAUGCCUAACACAUGCAAGUCGAACGAAGCCUUCGGGCUUAGUGGCGCACGGGUGCGUAACGCGUGGGAAUCUGCCCUUGGGUUCGGAAUAACAGUUAGAAAUGACUGCUAAUACCGGAUGAUGUCUUCGGACCAAAGAUUUGUCGCCCAAGGAUGAGCCCGCGUAGGAUUAGGUAGUUGGUGGGGUAAUGGCCCACCAAGCCGACGAUCCUUAGCUGGUCUGAGAGGAUGAUCGGCCACACUGGGACUGAGACACGGCCCAGACUCCUACGGGAGGCAGCAGUGGGGAAUAUUGGACAAUGGGCGAAAGCCUGAUCCAGCAAUGCCGCGUGAGUGAUGAAGGCCUUAGGGUUGUAAAGCUCUUUUACCAGGGAUGAUAAUGACAGUACCUGGAGAAUAAGCUCCGGCUAACUCCGUGCCAGCAGCCGCGGUAA
rnacentral:rRNA from 1 species